AGUCGAACGGCAGCACGGACUUCGGUCUGGUGGCGAGUGGCGAACGGGUGAGUAAUGUAUCGGAACGUGCCUAGUAGCGGGGAUAACUACGCGAAAGCGUAGCUAAUACCGCAUACGCCCUUCGAGAAAGCGGGGGACCUUCGGGCCUCGCACUAUUGAAGCGGCCGAUAUCGGAUUAGCUAGUUGGUGGGAACGGCUCACCAAGGCGUCCGUAGCUGGUUUGAGAGGACGACCAGCCACACUGGACUGAGACGAAGCCCAGACUCCUACGGAGAGCGAAAGCAGUGGGAAUUUUGGACAAUGGGGAAACCUGAUCCAGCCAUCCCGCGUGUGCGAUGAAGGCCUUCGGGUUGUAAAGCACUUUGGCAGAAAGAAACGGCACGGGAUAAUACCCCGUGCAACUGACGAUGCCGCAGAAUAAGCACCGGCUAACUACGUGCCAGCAACCGCGGUGGCACGUGGUGCAAGCUGUUAAUCGGAAUUACUGGGCGUAAAGCGUGCGCAGGCGGUUCCGGAAAAGAAGAUGUCGAAAUCUGAAAUACUUUGGAACUGCAUUUUAACUACCGAGCUAGAGUGUGUCAGAGGAGAAUUCCGCGAUAACUUGGUGAAAUGCGUAAGAUAUGCGGAGGAACACCGAUGGCGAAGGCAGCCUCCUGGGAUAACACUGACGGCAUGCACAGCAGUAGAGCAAACAGGAUUAGAUACCCUGGUAGUCCGCCUAAACGAUGUCAACUAGCUGUUGGGGCCUUCGGGCCUUGGUGGCCGCAGCUAACGCGUGAAGUUGACCUGCAAAUCGGUCGCAAAAUUAAAACUCAAAAUUGACGGGGACCCGCACAAGCGGUGGAUGAUGUGGUUAAAUUCGAUGCAACGCGAAAAACCUUACCUACCCUUGACAUGUCUGGAAUCCCGAAGAGAUUUGGGAGUGCUCGCAGAGAACCCUUUCAGGUGCUGCAUGGCUGUCGUCAGCUCGUGUCAUGAGAUGUUGGGUUAAGUCCCGCAACGAGCGCAGCCCUUGUCAUUAGUUGCUACGAAGGAGCACUGUAAUGAGACUGCCGGUGACAAACCGGAGGAAGGUGGGGAUGACGUCAAGUCCUCAUGGCCCAUAUAGGUAGGGCUUCCGUCAUACAAUGGUCGGGACAGAGGGUCGCCAACCCGCGAGGAGGCCAAUCAGAAACCCGAUCGUAGUCCGGAUCGCAGUCUGCAACUCGACUGCGUGAAGUCAGAUCGUAGUAAUCGCGGAUCAGCAUCGCGGUGAAUACGUUCCCGGGUCUUGUACACCGCCCGUCUUAAAUUGGGUUUUACGAAGUAGUUAGCCUAACCGUAAGGAGGGCGAUUACCACGGUAGGAUUCAUGACUGAGGGUGAAGUCGUAACAAGGUAG
rnacentral:rRNA from 1 species